rnacentral:rRNA from 1 species
UACGUAGGGGGCAAGCAUUGUCCGGAUUUAUUGGGCGUAAAGAGCGUGUAGGCGGCCAGAUAGGUCAGCUGUGAAAACUCGAGGCUCAACCUCGAGAUGUCGGCUGAAACCAUCUGGCUAGAGUCCGGAAGAGGAGAAUGGAAUUCCCGGUGUAGCGGUGAAAUGCGCAGAUAUCGGGAAGAACACCCGUGGCGAAGGCGGUUCUCUGGGACGGUACUGACGCUGAGACGCGAAAGCGUGGGGAGCGAACAGG